rnacentral:rRNA from 1 species
AUACGGAGGGUGCAAGCGUUAAUCGGAAUUACUGGGCGUAAAGCGCGCGUAGGCGGCUGAUUAAGUCGGAUGUGAAAUCCCUGGGCUCAACCUAGGAACCGCAUCCGAUACUGGUCAGCUAGAGUUUUGGAGAGGUAAGUGGAAUUUCCGGUGUAGCGGUGAAAUGCAUAGAGAUCGGAAGGAACACCAGUGGCGAAGGCGACUUACUGGCCAAAAACUGACGCUGAGGUGCGAAAGCGUGGGUAGCGAACAGGAUUAGAAACCCUAGUAGUCC